rnacentral:rRNA from 1 species
AGCUCCAAUAGCGUAUAUUAAAGUUGUUGCAGUUAAAAAGCUCGUAGUUGAAUUUCGGGCCCGGCUGUUGUGGUCGGCCGCACAGGUCUGUACUCCUCGGGCCGGGCCUUUCCUUCUGGAGAACCGUCAUGCCAUUCACUUGGUGUGGCGGAGAUCCAGGACUUUUACCUUGAGAAAAUUAGAGUGUUUAAAGCAGGCAAACGCUUGAAUACGUUAGCAUGGAAUAAUAGAAUAGGACUUUGGUUCUAUUUUGUUGGUUUCUAGGACCGAAGUAAUGAUUAAUAGGGACAGUUGGGGGCAUUAGUAUUUAGUUGUCAGAGGUGAAAUUCUUGGAUUUACGAAAGACUAACUUCUGCGAAAGCAUUUGCCAAGGAUGUUUUCA